rnacentral:rRNA from 1 species
ACACUCCUACGGGAGGCAGCAGUAGGGAAUCUUCCACAAUGGGUGCAAACCUGAUGGAGCAAUGCCGCGUGAGUGAAGAAGGUCUUCGGAUCGUAAAGCUCUGUUGUUAGAGAAGAACACGUGCUAGGUAACUACUAGCGCCUUGACGGUAUCUAACCAGAAAGUCACGGCUAACUACGUGCCAGCAGCCGCGGUAAUACGUAGGUGACAAGCGUUGUCCGGAUUUAUUGGGCGUAAAGGGAGCGCAGGCGGUCUGUUUAGUCUAAUGUGAAAGCCCACGGCUUAACCGUGGAACGGCAUUGGAAACUGACAGACUUGAAUGUAGAAGAGGAAAAUGGAAUUCCAAGUGUAGCGGUGGAAUGCGUAGAUAUUUGGAGGAACACCAGUGGCGAAGGCGAUUUUCUGGUCUAACAUUGACGCUGAGGCUCGAAAGCGUGGGGAGCGAACAGGAUUAGAAACCCCAGUAGUCCCAU